rnacentral:misc_RNA from 1 species
UCCCUUUUUAGGGGCAGUCUGGCUAGAGAAAACAACUAACCACGAGGGUUGCGCUCGUUGCGGGACUUAACCCAACACCUCACGGCACGAGCUGACGACAACCAUGCAGCACCUGUGCUGGCUCCCUUGCGGGUCCCUCACUUUUCAGAUCAGUACCACCAGCAUGUCAAGCCCAGGUAAGGUUCUUCGCUUUGCAUCGAAUUAAACCACACGCUCCGCUGCUUGUGCGGUCCCCCGUCAAUUCCUUUGAGUUUUAGCCUUGCGGCCGUACUCCCCAGGCGGAAUGCUUAUCGCGUUAGCUACGGCUCGGAGGGGGUCGAUACCCCCCAAACCCAGCAUUCAUCGUUUAGGGCGUGGACUAC